rnacentral:rRNA from 1 species
GACGAACGCUGGCGGCGUGCCUAAUACAUGCAAGUCGAACGCAGUGGGGACGGGUGAGUAACACGUGGGUAACCUCCCAUCAGAGGGGAUAACACUUGGAAACAGGUGCUAAACCGAUACUGAUGGAUGGACCCGCGGUGCAUUAGCUAGUUGGUGAGGUAACGGCUCACCAAGGCCACGAUGCCUAGCUGGACGGGGAGGGGGAACAGCCACACUGGGACUGAGACACGGACCAGACUCCUACGUGGGGCAGGCAGAGGGAAUAUUCGGCAAUGGACGCAAAGUGGAACGAGCAAUGCCGAGGGAAUGAAGAAGGGUUUCGGGAUGGAAAACUUUGUUGUUAAGAGAGAGGUAACUAACCAGAAAACCACGGAUUACUACGUGGCAGCAGCCGCGGUAAUUC